UACGUAGGGUGCGAGCGUUGUCCGGAAUUAUUGGGCGUAAAGAGCUUGUAGGCGGUUUGUCGCGUCUGCUGUGAAAAUCCGGGGCUCAACCCCGGACUUGCAGUGGGUACGGGCAGACUAGAGUGUGGUAGGGGAGACUGAAUUCCUGGUGUAGCGGUGAAAUGCGCAGAUAUCAGGAGGAACACCGAUGGCGAAGGCAGGUCUCUGGGCCACUACUGACGUGAGAAGCGAAAGCAUGGGGAGCGAACAGG
rnacentral:rRNA from 1 species